CAGCAGGCGCGAAACCUUUGCCAUGCGCGAAAGCGUGACAGGGGAAUUCCGAGUGGUAGGGGGGUUUACCUCCCUAUCUUUUGGCCAAUCCAAACAAUUGGCAGAAUAAGAUCUGGGUAAGACCAGUGCCAGCCGCCGCGGUAAUACUGGCAGAGCAAGUGGUAUCCACGAAUAUUGGGUCUAAAGAGUCCGUAGCGGGCCUGUUAAGUCCACUGUGAAAUCUGGCGGCUCAACCGUCAGGCGUGCAGUGGAUACUGGCAGGCUUGGGAGUGGGGGAGGUCGGGAGUACUCACGGGGUAACGGUAAAAUGUUGUAAUCCUGUGAGGACUACCAGUGGCGAAGGCGCCCGACCAAAACACGUCCGACCGUGAGGGACGAAGGCUAGGAGAACGAAUCGGAUUAGAUACCCGAGUAGCCCUAGCAGUAAAUUAUGCAGACUGUGGUGUUGCGUCGACUUCGAGUCGGCGCAGUGCUGUAGCGUAGGUGUUAAGUCUGCCACCUGGGGAGUACGGCCGCAAGGUUAAACUUAAAGGAAUUGGCGGGGGAGCACAAGGGCGAUUCGCG
rnacentral:rRNA from 1 species